CAUUAUUAAAUGGUACACGGAUGGGCACAUUGGCGUGAAAUUAAUGGUUACAUACCUGCGCUAUGGAACACAAUUUUGCGCCACACCAAAGAGUGCAGAGUGUCUGCAAAAACCUGCAGUCAGGCAACCCGGAAGCAGAAAGUUCGCACCUGCCUCCAGAGAGAGAGAGCGCAGAUCUACCGAUCCUUUCUUAAAGGGCAGAUAAAUAAAGGGACAAGACCGCAAAUGCGCCAAGAGCAGUCGUCCUGCUACACUUACAUCUCCAUACUUCCACUGAUAACCUUGUGCUUAACCUUGUGUCAGAAUUCAGAAAAGUCAGCUGAAAUUUCCAGCUACGGAAAGUGUUCAUGAAGGGGCCCACAAACUAUCAACGACUUGAUAGCUGGAAAGCCCUAAACCCUCAGGGACUUUGCAGGAACGAACCUAUGCACGUGAGUCCGUGACUGUAGAGAUUGGAAGUGGUCCAAAGCACAAGAAUCCAUCAGAGGCCGCCUGCGGGUGUGCAUGUGCAUAUAGGCCUUUCAUUGGUGUGUUUCUGUCUCGCAGUCUCCUUAACGUGACUUUAACAUCAUCUUCCCUACUAGUCCCAAACUAACAAAUAUCUAAGUUGAAGCAUUGUUUUCAGGUGUCAAAUAUGUAUAAGGCACCGUUCGCAAAGAAUUUUGCUGGAGAACUAAUGAGUUGAGCAUCCUUCUAAUGGCUACUGUCAGUAUUAUUAGCAACUGAGUCUCUAGCCCAACUAUUUUUAAAUUCAUUUGUCUCUGCGUGGCUGAAAGACCUUCCACUUCUUUACCUCAGCUGGUGCUGUAUACUAAAACACAGUAUUAUUCAGUAAAGGAUAUGUGUGUGUUUUGGAUGUUUAGCACAUUACAUGUGAUUUAGCUGACGCUUUUAUCCAAAGCGACUUACAAUAAGUGCAUUCAACCAUACAAACUCAAAAGUGUGAGAGGUCAGGACUCCGACUCAGGUGCAGAGCAAUAAGGCAACGAAAAACUUCUUUCCAGGUUUGGAACCUCUUACUUGCAGAAUAAAGUAAUGCGAUACAAAAGGCAGCACAGGCACAGGCGGACUUACGCUCUUGUAGAAACAAAAAAAGGAAAAGGGCCUGGCAAUGAAGUAAAAAAAAGAUAACCACAAACCAACACUGGGAAUACCUGACUACAAAACAUGCAACUUGGGGAGGGACAACAGACAACCUGACACGGACAAGUGGGGGGUACUGAGGCUUAAAUAAAGGUGGAGGUAAUUGCAAACUAAACUCAGCUGUGGGGAGAAACGAAAGGCGAGGAACUAAAUACAAAAAAACAAAACAGGAAGUUAAUCUUCACCGUCUCUGCGAGUCGUCACAAAAAGAACAAGAAACAAGAAAGUGCAACAUUUCUGUGGAAUCGCAAUGUGCUCCCACCAGGAAUUUUGUAUGAAGCCUCUUUUUUUGUUUGCGUCGUGUGUUUAAGGGCUAACGUGGUAAUUGGAAUAGGCAUAGAAACCGCCCUGGCUUCCAGUCAUCCCUCAUGACAGCUUUGUAGGAAGGUCACGCUUUUGUUCUAAAUGAGGUCAUCUAGGUCCCCAACUGCACUCAUUCAUUAAUCAAUAAGUAAUCUAAUCACAACAGCAUGUGUCAUGAGAUGUUUACACAGCAAAACCUUUAGUCUGAUUAUAUCCCUUUAAGAAGUGCAUUGCCUGCAAUGGUGGAAAUAGUUCUGGGGACAAAAGAGCAAUUUAAAUUCACAUACAUCGCUUGAAUGGUGUGUGUGACUGAAGCUCCACGUCAUGUGUUCGUGUUGUGAAGGGAAGGCUGCUGACCAAUUACAGGAAAACUACUUAUUGAUUA
ensembl:lncRNA